rnacentral:rRNA from 1 species
AACAAACGCUGGCGGCGUGCCUAAUACAUGCAAGUCGAACGGGGAAAGCUUUCGGGUGAGUACUAGUGGCGCACGGGUGAGUAACGCGUGGAUAAUCUGCCUUAGAGUGGGGGAUAACUAGUCGAAAGAUUAGCUAAUACCGCAUAAGACCACAAGAACUGCGGUUCAAGGGGUCAAAGGUUUUUCGCUCUAAGAUGAGUCCGCGUAAGAUUAGCUAGUUGGUGAGGUAAUGGCUCACCAAGGCGACGAUCUUUAACUGGUCUGAGAGGAUGAUCAGUCACACUGGAACUGAGACGCGGUCCAGACUCCUACGGGAGGCAGCAGUAGGGAAUAUUGCACAAUGGAGGAAACUCUGAUGCAGCGACGCCGCGUGAGUGAUGAAGGCCUUCGGGUCGUAAAGCUCUGUCGCAAGGGAAAUACACAAUGAAUGUACCUUGCAAGAAAGGAUCGGCUAACUUCGUGCCAGCCGCCGCAGUAAGAC